rnacentral:rRNA from 1 species
UACGAAGGGGGCUAGCGUUGCUCGGAAUCACUGGGCGUAAAGCGCACGUAGGCGGAUUGCUAAGUCAGGGGUGAAAUCCUGGAGCUCAACUCCAGAACUGCCUUUGAUACUGGCGACCUUGAGUCCGGGAGAGGUGAGUGGAACUGCGAGUGUAGAGGUGAAAUUCGUAGAUAUUCGCAAGAACACCAGUGGCGAAGGCGGCUCACUGGCCCAUAACUGACGCUGAGGCACGAAAGCGUGGGGAGCAAACGGG